rnacentral:rRNA from 1 species
UACGGGGGGGCAGCAGCGGGGAAUCUUGCGCAAUGGGCGAAAGCCUGACGCAGCAACGCCGCGUGUGUGAUGAAGGUCUUCGGAUCGUAAAGCACUGUCGGGAGGGACGAAUAAGGCGGCGGCUAACAUCCGCAGCUGAUGACGGUACCUCCAAAGGAAGCACCGGCUAACUCUGUGCCAGCAGCCGCGGUAAUACAGAGGGUGCAAGCGUUGUUCGGAAUUAUUGGGCGUAAAGCGCGUGUAGGCGGCCUUGCAAGUUGGGUGUGAAAGCCCUCGGCUUAACCGAGGAAGUGCGCCCAAAACUACAGGGCUUGAGUACCGGAGAGGGUGGCGGAAUUCCCGGUGUAGAGGUGAAAUUCGUAGAUAUCGGGAGGAACACCAGUGGCGAAGGCGGCCACCUGGACGGAUACUGACGCUGAGACGCGAAAGCGUGGGUAGCAAACAGGAUUAGAUACCCGUGUAGUCAUCUUCUAGA